UUCCGGUUGAUCCUGCGGAGGCCACUGCUAUCGGAGUCCGACUAAGCCAUGCGAGUCGACCGGACUUUCUUCCCUCGGGAGGAAAGUCAGGGGCGAACGGCUCAGUAACACGUGGCUAACCUACCCUCGGGUGGGGGAUAACCUCGGGAAACUGAGGCUAAUACCCCAUAGGUCUAGGUUGCUGGAAUGCACCUAGACUGAAAGCUCCGGCGCCCAAGGAUGGGGCCGCGGCCGAUCAGGUUGUUGGUGGGGUAACGGCCCACCAAGCCGAUAACCGGUACGGGCCGUGAGAGCGGGAGCCCGGAGAUGGGCACUGAGAUAAGGGCCCAGGCCCUACGGGGCGCAGCAGUCGCGAAACCUCCGCAAUGCGCGAAAGCGCGACGGGGCCACCCCGAGUGCCGCCCGCUGAGGGCGGCUUUUCCCCGGUGUAGAUAGCCGGGGGAAUAAGGGGAGGGCAAGUCUGGUGUCAGCCGCCGCGGUAAUACCAGCUCCCCGAGUGGUGGGGACGAUUAUUGGGCCUAAAGCGUCCGUAGCCGGCCCGGCAAGUCUCCCGUUAAAUCCAGCGAUCUAAUCGCUGGACUGCGGGAGAUACUGUCGGGCUAGGGGGCGGGAGAGGCCGGCGGUAUUCCCGGGGUAGGGGUGAAAUCCUAUAAUCCCGGGAGGACCACCAGUGGCGAAGGCUGCCGGCUGGAACGCGCCCGACGGUGAGGGACGAAAGCCGGGGGAGCGAACCGGAUUAGAUACCCGGGUAGUCCCGGCUGUAAACGAUGCGGGCUAGGUGUUGGCACGGCUACGAGCCGUGCCAGUGCCGCAGGGAAGCCGUUAAGCCCGCCGCCUGGGGAGUACGGCCGCAAGGCUGAAACUUAAAGGAAUUGGCGGGGGAGCACCACAAGGGGUGAAGCUUGCGGUUUAAUUGGAGCAACGCCGGA
rnacentral:rRNA from 1 species